UAACACCCCUGGCUUUCCGGGCAUGGAGGUCGCGACGGCCUGAAGCCCACUGGUGUGGUGGAGGGAGCGCUGGUGGGCCGGGCUGGGCCUCAGUCUCCUCAUCUGUAAAACGUGGUCUUGGGCUUCCUAACCUAAGAUCCUGUUUAUCAGUUAUACUACUGCCAAGCUUACAGAACUGAUGACCUAAAGAGAUCACUCCUAUGCGAAGGUUGCUUUGAUUGACCUCAAUCCAAGAGAAGAUAACAACCACUGAUCAGCCCCUGGACCCAUAGAGGCUAAAAAGAAACCCUAAAGGGGAAUUAAGACUCAGCGAAGAGAAUCUGGCCUGGAGAAUGGGAAGUUAUAUGUUUAAAUAUGACCUCAGAUGCUUGUGACCCUGGACAAGUCCCUUAACCUCCUGCCUAGCCCUUACCACCCUUCUGCCUUGGAACCAAAACUUAGUACUGAAUCUAAGAUAGAAGGUAAAGAUGUAAAAAACAACAAAAAACAGACUCUCGACACCAAUCUGUGGACAUUGGCCUCCUGUUUCUUUGACCCUGAUAUUUAGCUCCUUACCCCUCACCUGUAACCUCUCUACUAUGUAUUUGUUGUUUGUGGUUUGUACACUUUGGGUUGGGAGAACAGGAGAGCCCAACACUUGGUAGAAUUUGAUUCAUCAGGCCAUCCAGGCUUUUAAUUGGACCAAUUGCUGAAAUGUGCACAUGCCCUUUUUUGUCCUUGAGAGAAGAAAUACUUCUGGUGAAUGUGGAAAUAAACAUCUAGAACUUUGUGAGUAUUAUUUUGCCAUUGAUAAGGCAACCGGAGAUGCCAUGGGUGAGAAAAAUGAGUCCUCCUACUCAUUCAUUUUUAAUUGGAAAACCUUUCACAAUUCUUACCACCCUUGAGCUUUCAACAUAUUUUAGGUUGCCAGGUCUAUGUUAUGAGCAAAAUGGGACACAAGGUCAGGAAAUGCAACAGCAAAUGGGAUAUAAGUAUACCUAGUCCCUGAAGUGAAAUACAACCAUUCAGGAUGGAAAAGGCUACCUGAGAAUUUUUGUUAAGCUGGGAGGCCUGGAACACUAAGUGGAUUUUUUAGGAUAGCCCCACAGGGGUUUUAUUUCCUAUGUAACAAGAAAGCAUAUUACUGGUUCCCCUCAAAUUGGACAGGCAGGUAUAGUUUGAGGUGGUAUUUUUGGGCUUUAGGCUCAUAUCUCUCCAGUCGUCUAGUGCACACUUGCAAAGCAAGCUGAGGGAAUUGAGGGGAUUAGAAAAGCAAAUGGUAGUGGGAAUUGUGGCAACUGAAUGAACCACACUGACUCCAUCCUGUGACUCAAUUCUGGAUCUAGCCCAGUUCCCUUUCUAUUCAAUUAAGGGUCUAGCCCAAUUUCUGCCUUGUAAGAAGACUUUAUUCAUUUGUGGGAAUUGAGAAAAAGCCUUGAUACAUUGUUUAAACCUAGCCCUACCUAUGGGGAAGCUGAACCACCUCUACCUAGAGGCACUGAAGUAAUGACCUGGGUUAUGCUGGCCAGAAACCCACCCAGACCCCAAGAUUGAUGCAAGGAAUUUUAUCAUAAUUAUACAUCUCAAAACUCAUGUGUCUUAUCUGAAAACUGGCCUUGAAUUGAUUAAUCAGUUAUUUCCACGUUCUUUGAAUUGUUUGCAGACACUUCAACACUUCUUUUUUCAGUUUUCGGGGAAUUGUACCUGGUCACUCUUCCCCUCCUAACUUGGGAAAGUCCCUAAUCUUUCCUCCAGUUAGAAAUCAUAUUACAUAAUGUAUUAUUUCCUUUUAAUUAAUCUUAUUUGUUUUGAAUGUAUAAAAGUCUGUCUCCCCCUGUAUUUGAGGUUCAGCCCUAACCUGAGGAAGGGACUUGGUCCCACUCUUAUUGAACAAUUGGAAUGCACUGCUUAAUAAAUCUAUAUGCUCAGUCUUGA